UAGGGAAUCUUCCGCAAUGGACGCAAGUCUGACGGAGCAACGCCGCGUGAGUGAAGAAGGAUUUCGGUUCGUAAAACUUUGUUGUUAGAGAAGAACAGCGCAUAGAGUAACUGUUAUGCGUGUGACGGUAUCUAACCAGAAAGCCACGGCUAACUACGUGCCAGCAGCCGCGGUAAUACGUAGGUGGCAAGCGUUGUCCGGAUUUAUUGGGCGUAAAGCGAGCGCAGGCGGUCAAUUAAGUCUGAUGUGAAAGCCCCCGGCUCAACCGGGGAGGGUCAUUGGAAACUGGUUGACUUGAGUGCAGAAGAGGAGAGUGGAAUUCCAUGUGUAGCGGUGAAAUGCGUAGAUAUAUGGAGGAACACCAGUGGCGAAGGCGACUCUCUGGUCUGUAACUGACGCUGAGGCUCGAAAGCGUGGGUAGCAAACAGG
rnacentral:rRNA from 1 species